UACGUAGGGGGCGAGCGUUGUCCGGAGUUAUUGGGCGUAAAGGGCGUGUAGGCGGCUUGUUAAGUCAGGUGUGAAAUUUCAGGGCUUAACCCUGAAACUGCGCUUGAAACUGGCAGGCUCGAGGACAGGAGAGGGAAGUGGAAUUCCCGGUGUAGCGGUGGAAUGCGUAGAUAUCGGGAGGAACACCAGUGGCGAAGGCGGCUUCCUGGACUGUACCUGACGCUGAGGCGCGAAAGCUAGGGGAGCAAAC
rnacentral:rRNA from 1 species